rnacentral:lncRNA from 1 species
GCACAUUCGAAUUCACUUGAACAUUGGCAGUGAGACAACAAGGUCUGUAAGUUCGGCAAGGAAAGUUAAAAUCGUUUUUGAGAUUAGUGUAUGUUACAUUCUGUUAUUUUGUUAAGUUAACUGAAGGGUGUUCAAGUUUUCUGUAGUUAUUUAAAGUAUGCUUGAUUUUAAUGUGAUUCACAUCGUUUCGUAUUAUGUCAUCGCUUUUUUUCCUAUUAAACGUGGUAAUUCAGCUGUAGGAGUUGUAACUUCAUGAAACAAUCUCUGGAGAUUUGCUCAGGUAGUGCAUCUACCUGCCUCAUGCUUUGAAAGGAAAAUGUAGAGGGCUUCCGAUGUGUGGCGGAGUCUAUCGUUUUUCGUUUCCUAGUCAGCGACGUGUCCCACAGGAUUGUCUUUUUUGUUGGUGCUGGGAUGUUGGAUGGCAGGUGUUUGCGCGGCUUGAUUUCCUGGAUUUCAUUCUGUGGAGGUAUAUGUGACCUUGUGGUGGCUUUGCAGUUGAUGUGAUCGGUCGUCUUUCAGAUGUUAGUGCGCAGCUCGAUUUUACAAUGUAGACAUUUUUCAGCGUUACUGUACCGUAUGAUGCCGUGCUGCCGGAUUAUUAGUGAAGGGCAGGUUGCUAUGCGGUGCGCGUUGCAGCUAGCUUUGUCAAGGCGGAUCUUCUCAGGUUUUUCCGAGGUGUGUGCAGGUCUUCUGACGGAUUUCACAGUUAAGGUUCCAAUAAGAUGAGGUUGAUUUGGGGUUUCCGGUGAGAUUUCUGUAUUAUGUGAAGAUUGUUUUUGGACAACAGCCUGCUGGACUUCAGUAUUGCCUUUACCUAGGGUAUUGAUGCUGCAAAUAUCCUGGCGGCCGCGCAUCUUAAGGACUGAAAUAUUACUGUACAAUUGCAAACGAUAUAGUCUUCCUUUUACAGGCGAGAAACAGGCCGUCACAGUAAUUCAAGUAUUCAUCUUCUGAAAUUCGCUCAAUCCUUAAUCUGUCGUCCUGAGAUGCCGUGUUAUAGUGGAAAGUCAACGUACAGUUUCAGGUCAAUGCUUCGCAGCUUCAUCUAGCACUACCUUAUAGCGCGACAUGCAUUCAGUUCGGAGGCUGCUAUUCUUUCGUGGAACUUGUCUGAAUCGGUUUCUAGCUCAUUCUUGGAUAUCCUUUCAUUGUUGAAUAAAAAUUUGAAAUUCACUUAAUUUGUUAGUUAAUUUUUUGUAUCACAACUUUGUUUCUUAAAUACAAAUUUCAUGGAAUUUCUAAAGGACGUG